AUGGGGAGCCUGGGGAGAAGCCUUCUGGUGCUAUGUGUGGCCAUCACCAUUGCAACACUUUCUGCUCAGCAAAAGGAGAGACUGAGUGACCAAGAAGCUAUAUCCCUGUUACUAGCUACCUACAACAGAGAGUCCAACGAUAAUUUCAUCUAUGGGCUCCUUCAAACCAAAUCUGUCUCUGACCAGGCUGAGAAACGGAUCCUGAGUUUUACCAUCCAGGAAACUAAGUGCCUUAAAUCAGAGAAUCAGAACCCUGACCAGUGUGAAUUCAAAGAAGGUGGGCUGGUGAGAGACUGCUCAGGAGAGAUUUUAUCUGAGCAACGUCCCCCCCCGUGGUUCUUGUCUCUUGUGACUCUGCGACUGCACAGGAGGCUCAAGCCCAGGAAGUGUCAGAUGCUGAUCCAUUACCAGCCUCUGCUGGUGGAGGCCGAGGAGGCCGUGGAGGCCGUGGAGGCCGUGGAGGCCGUGGCGGCCGUGGUGGCCGUGGCGGCCGUGGAGGCCGUGGAGGCCGUGGAGGCCGUGGAGGCCGUGGAGGCCGGGGAGGCCGGGGAGGCCGUGGCGGCCGAGGCGGCCGUGGAGGUCGAGGAGGCCGUGGCCGCAGAGGAAGACGUGAUGUAGAGAGUGAAGUACCAGAUAUCUUUCUAGACAGACAAAGGGGGCCUCCUUUUGGAGAUCCUUUUAAUCCGUUCCCCAGGCCGGGGCCUAGACCCUUCCCCAGGCCUCGGCCUCAACCUGGGCCCUUCCCCAGGCCUCGGCCUCGACCUGGGCCCUUCCCCAGGCCUCAGCCUCGACCUGGGCCCUUCCCCAGGCCUCAGCCUCAACCUUUUCCCAACCCUCCGUUUGACCCCGAUCAGCCUGACCCCAAUCAGCCUGACCUUGAUUACCUUUAAUUUAGCUUGACCCCAGCCUGGGCCUGCUUUUAGCCUAAGCUCAUCCUUGGCUAAGCUCUCACUUUAGAUUCCUUUGUCAUGUCCAGAAAUCCUUCCUUAGCCCAGGCCACUAAACCCAAUUCUUCAAUGAGUUCCAAGAUUUGAACCCACAGAUCCAGUAGGAGCAGAAAAGGUACAAAUAGGGAUCAAAUGCAAGAAGACAUCCAAGAACCCAAAGAAGAGGCUGGACUGUGGACUGGUAGAGGGCAGGGACUGUCCAACCAUCAUUGCAGCAUUCCAAGCAGACAGAAAUCAAAUAAAGCCUUUGUGAUAGCAAUAAUCA
rnacentral:lncRNA from 1 species